rnacentral:rRNA from 1 species
UACAAUGGAGAGUUUGAUCCUGGCUCAGGAUGAACGCUAGCGGGAGGCCUAACACAUGCAAGCCGAGCGGUAUUUGUCUUUCGGGACAGAGAGAGCGGCGUACGGGUGCGGAACACGUGUGCAACCUGCCUUUAUCUGGGGGAUAGCCUUUCGAAAGGAAGAUUAAUACCCCAUAACAUAUUAAGUGGCAUCACUUGAUAUUGAAAACUCCGGUGGAUAGAGAUGGGCACGCGCAAGAUUAGAUAGUUGGUGAGGUAACGGCUCACCAAGUCAAUGAUCUUUAGGGGGCCUGAGAGGGUGAUCCCCCACACUGGUACUGAGACACGGACCAGACUCCUACGGGAGGCAGCAGUGAGGAAUAUUGGACAAUGGGUGAGAGCCUGAUCCAGCCAUCCCGCGUGAAGGACGACGGCCCUAUGGGUUGUAAACUUCUUUUGUAUAGGGAUAAACCUUUCCACGUGUGGAAAGCUGAAGGUACUAUACGAAUAAGCACCGGCUAACUCCGUGCCAGCAGCCGCGGUAAUACGGAGGGUGCAAGCGUUAUCCGGAUUUAUUGGGUUUAAAGGGUCCGUAGGCGGGCUCGUAAGUCAGUGGUGAAAUCUCAUAGCUUAACUAUGAAACUGCCAUUGAUACUGCGAGCCUUGAGUAAGGUAGAGGUAGCUGGAAUAAGUAGUGUAGCGGUGAAAUGCAUAGAUAUUACUUAGAACACCAAUUGCGAAGGCAGGUUACCAUGUCUUAACUGACGCUGAUGGACGAAAGCGUGGGGAGCGAACAGGAUUAGAUACCCUGGUAGUCCACGCCGUAAACGAUGCUAACUCGUUUUUGGGGCUUUAAGCUUCAGAGACUAAGCGAAAGUGAUAAGUUAGCCACCUGGGGAGUACGUUCGCAAGAAUGAAACUCAAAGGAAUUGACGGGGGCCCGCACAAGCGGUGGAUUAUGUGGUUUAAUUCGAUGAUACGCGAGGAACCUUACCAAGGCUUAAAUGGGAAUUGACAGGUUUAGAAAUAGACUUUUCUUCGGACAAUUUUCAAGGUGCUGCAUGGUUGUCGUCAGCUCGUGCCGUGAGGUGUUAGGUUAAGUCCUGCA